rnacentral:rRNA from 1 species
UACGUAGGUGGCAAGUGUUGUCCGGAUUUAUUGGGCGUAAAGCGAGCGCAGGUGGUUUCUUAAGUCUGAUGUGAAAGCCCACGGCUCAACCGUGGAAGGUCAUUGGAAACUGGGGAACUUGAAUGCAGAAGAGGAGAGUGGAAUUCCAUGUGUAGCGGUGAAAUGCGUAGAUAUAUGGAGGAACACCAGUGGCGAAGGCGACUCUCUGGUCUGUUAUUGACACUGAGGCUCGAAAGCGUGGGGAGCGAACAGGAUUAGA